CGGACGGGUGAGUAAUGUCUGGGAAACUGCCUGAUGGAGGGGGAUAACUACUGGAAACGGUAGCUAAUACCGCAUAAUGUCUACGGACCAAAGCGGGGGACCUCCGGGCCUCGCGCCAUCAGAUGAACCCAUAUGGGAUUAGCUAGUAGGUGAGGUAACGGCUUACCUAGGCGACGAUCCCUAGCUGGUCUGAGAGGAUGAUCAGCCACACUGGGACUGAGACACGGCCCAG
rnacentral:rRNA from 1 species